GUAAACACAAAGAAGAGAAGAAGUAGUAGGUGACGAUUUUUCAGAGAGGCUGCGGGUGGUGGAAGCAGUCAAAUCAACGCUUACGAAAUGCACCUCCGAGUGGUCUUAGCGAUAUGUAGCUAAGGACGUUUCACAGACGUUACCUGUUUUGAGGCAGAUAAACUGCAAACAAAAGUGGGACCACGUUAAAGCGUCUUUUGA
rnacentral:ncRNA from 1 species